GUUGGACCAACACCAUUCCAACAUCAUAUUGAGGAUGUUAUUAAGAAAGAAGAGCUUGAAAUGAGGGUGAUCCCAACGUGUACUUUAGCCCAACUUUCAUCCCUACCUUGCUCAAGUACUUUCUUCCUCAGGCUGCUCCGUGGUCUGGCCUACUUCUGGGUGACCUUGGACGCCACGGAACGGGUCCAGUGUAUGACAAACUGUCACAGAGGUUCAAAAGAGCUGCUUAUAAACCCACCCAGAAUUACACUCAGGACAAUAAAACACAAGGGAUAAUGGAGAAAAGUCAGUGGGACUUGAAAAAGAUCUCUUUCCAACGAAGACAACUGACCAGACUGGAUGAUUUUGUAUCCACCUACAAGAUCACCCUGAACGCCCUUCUUAGGGAAUACAGAGACUCUCUGAAGAG